rnacentral:rRNA from 1 species
UACGAAGGGGGCUAGCGUUGCUCGGAAUCACUGGGCGUAAAGCGCACGUAGGCGGCUUCUAAGUCAGGGGUGAAAUCCUGGAGCUCAACUCCAGAACUGCCUUUGAUACUGGAGAGCUUGAGUCCGGAAGAGGUGAGUGGAACUCCGAGUGUAGAGGUGAAAUUCGUAGAUAUUCGGAAGAACACCAGUGGCGAAGGCGGCUCACUGGUCCGGUACUGACGCUGAUGUGCGAAAGCGUGGGGAGCAA